rnacentral:rRNA from 1 species
UACGUAGGGUGCGAGCGUUGUCCGGAAUUUUUGGGCGUAAAGAGCUCGUAGGCGGUCUGUCGCGUCUGCUGUGAAAACUCAGGGCUUAACCCUGAGCUUGCAGUGGGUACGGGCAGACUAGAGUGCGGUAGGGGAGACUGGAAUUCCUGGUGUAGCGGUGAAAUGCGCAGAUAUCAGGAGGAACACCGGUGGCGAAGGCGGGUCUCUGGGCCGUAACUGACGCUGAGGAGCGAAAGCAUGGGGAGCGAACAGG